rnacentral:rRNA from 1 species
UAACACGUCGGUAACCUACCCUCGGGAGGGGGAUAACCCCGGGAAACUGGGGCUAAUCCCCCAUAGGCCUGAGGUACUGGAAGGUCCUCAGGCCGAAAGGGGCUCUGCCCGCCCGAGGAUGGGCCGGCGGCCGAUUAGGUAGUUGGUGGGGUAACGGCCCACCAAGCCGAAGAUCGGUACGGGCCAUGAGAGUGGGAGCCCGGAGAUGGACACUGAGACACGGGUCCAGGCCCUACGGGGCGCAGCAGGCGCGAAACCUCCGCAAUGCGGGCAACCGCGACGGGGGGACCCCCAGUGCCGUGGCAUCGCCACGGCUUUUCCGGAGUGUAAAGAGCUCCGGGAAUAAGGGCUGGGCAAGGCCGGUGGCAGCCGCCGCGGUAAUACCGGCGGCCCGAGUGGUGGCCGCUAUUAUUGGGCCUAAAGCGUCCGUAGCCGGGCCCGUAAGUCCCUGGCGAAAUCCCACGGCUCAACCGUGGGGCUUGCUGGGGAUACUGCGGGCCUUGGGACCGGGAGAGGCGGAGGGUACUCCUGGGGUAGGGGUGAAAUCCUAUA